GACGAACGCUGGCGGCGUGCUUAACACAUGCAAGUCGAACGGAAAGGCCCUGCUUUUGUGGGGUGCUCGAGUGGCGAACGGGUGAGUAACACGUGAGUAACCUGCCCUUGACUUUGGGAUAACUUCAGGAAACUGGGGCUAAUACCGGAUAGGAGCUCCUGCUGCAUGGUGGGGGUUGGAAAGUUUCGGCGGUUGGGGAUGGACUCGCGGCUUAUCAGCUUGUUGGUGGGGUAGUGGCUUACCAAGGCUUUGACGGGUAGCCGGCCUGAGAGGGUGACCGGCCACAUUGGGACUGAGAUACGGCCCAGAGUCCUACGGGAGACAGCAGUGGGGAAUAUUGCACAAUGGGCGGAAGCCUGAUGCAGCGACGCCGCGUGCGGGAUGACGGCCUUCGGGUUGUAAACCGCUUUCGCCUGUGACGAAGCGUGAGUGACGGUAAUGGGUAAAGAAGCACCGGCUAACUACGUG
rnacentral:rRNA from 1 species